AGAGCGAACGCUGGCGGCAUGCUUAACACAUGCAAGUCUCACGGGCAGCAAUGUCAGUGGCGGACGGGUGAGUAACGCGUAGGUAUCUAUCCAUGGGUGGGGGAUAACGUCGGGAAACUGACGCUAAUACCGCAUGACAUCUGAGGAUCAAAGGCGCGAGUCGCCUGUGGAGGAGCCUGCGUACGAUUAGCUAGUUGGUGGGGUAAAGGCCUACCAAGGCUACGAUCGUUAGCUGGUCUGAGAGGAUGAUCAGCCACACUGGGACUGAGACACGGCCCAGACUCCUACGGGAGGCAGCAGUGGGGAAUAUUGGACAAUGGGCGAAAGCCUGAUCCAGCAAUGCCGCGUGUGUGAAGAAGGUCUUCGGAUUGUAAAGCACUUUCGGCGGGGACGAUGAUGACGGUACCCGCAGAAGAAGCCCCGGCUAACUUCGCGCCAGCAGCCGCGGUAA
rnacentral:rRNA from 1 species